GAUAGCUAGACCGAAAGUAAUAAUUCAAAUCGAGGAAAUCUAUUAAAUAACCCUUAAAAUGCCCUCAAAAAACAAUAAAUUUAUAAAAAUAAAUUACAUACAAGGAUAAAUCAAAUACAGCAAUCUAGUUGGCGCCAAAAACGUAUUGGGCGGGCGCCCCAUUUCUUCCUCCCCCCUCUCCCUAUCUAUCAAUCGCGCAGUACCUAACUCUUACCCUCAGUGCAGAUCCCUCACUUUUCGAGCUAGCCCAAACUCUUGAAUCUCAGCUCAGGUUGCCGAGCUAGAGCUACGAUCGACGAGUCGGCGACUAGACUGAAUCCGUGUUCGAAUCUCAGGGCUUUGCAUUCUAGGCUCUAGGAUAGCAGUGAGGAAAGAACAAUUUCAGGUGAAUUGGAUGAUGUUAACUUUGGUAGUAUGACACUGAAGCAAAUUAAGGAGAGAUGCAAAGCAAAGAAAAGGAAACCUGGAAUGUUCAGGGAUAUGUCAUCAUUCAAAGCUACAACAUCUUCCUGAAAGGCUCCUUUCAAACUGGAAGGCAAUUUCUACAGCAUCUCAGAAAAAACUGUGCAAGGCUAUGGAGUCUAGUGACAUAGAUGAUGAAGAUUAUUACAAGUAUGCUAUGAAAUUAUGCUGCAGGAAUUUGAAUGAAAAUAAGAUUGGUAGGCUUGGAAGAGCCUAUCAGAACCGGAUAUUUGAUCUCACUAUUAGCCCUGAGCGGAUCAUCAGGAAACUGAAGAGUGAGUAAUAUGGUUCCCAUUAUAAAGACAUUCUUAAGGUUCCUCAUCCUUCUCGAACUAUACCAUGUUUUGCCACUGGGAGCACCUCUGUCCAAAGUUGUUCAGAGAGUGCCAUUUCAUUAUCACAGAUGCAAGCGCGUGAUAUUGAAUCUAUUACAACUAAACUUGAAAAAGAGGUGAACUCCAUGAAGGGCAUUGUUCAAGAAACAUGGCAGUCCAAGGUCUAUCCUGCUAUGCCCUUGAAAUACAGGGCAGAUAAGGUAUGUACAGUAUGCUAUAGCGUAAAUUCUAUUGAUUUGGCAGGUGAAUUCAAAAUGCAACUAGAGUGGAAGAAAUUAAGUGCAAGAAGAUGGCUUGCCAUCCUGGCAAGGGAUUGCAACUGAUUUUGUAAAAUCAUGAAAUUGACUGACAAAGCUUCUGCAACUUUUCUGGGAAUGCUGUCCACAAGGAGAAGAGAAAGAUAGUUUUUGCUGAUGAGGCUGGCGGAAAGCUUUGUGAUGUCAAAGCUUUCGAGAAUGACAGGGCUUCUUUUGCAGGGUCUAGUAGUGACAAACAGAUAUUUGAGUGGCUAUUUGAUGCUUUCUAGAACAACAAAAUGAAUGUAUAGAAUAGUUUUGGCACGUGUAAAUCUAGGGUAAGGUGUGUCUGAGAUCAGGAGUGAAGCUACCAUAACACAGAUGAAUUCAGCUAGAAAGCAGACUGGUGCUCGCUUGAAAGCUAGUUUACUGAUCACUGAGAACUAGAGAAUAGGAUUAACUUUGUUUAUACUUUUCUUACCUCUUUACUUGAGAUUGAAGCAUGUUGUAACAACAAUCUUGUGUUCUUGUCCCAAGCCAAUGAACAAAUGUUUAUUUGUGCUUGGAAUUUCCAAUGAUGUUAGCCUUAUGUCAAGACGACAGAGAAUCCCAGUUUUCGGCCU